UUUUAUUAUAGGCUGGCUGUUAAUUCCAUCUCAAUCUGUCAUCUUUGUCAGGCAAACGUGUCAAACGGUCGUUAUUUCGUGCUCCAGCCUCCAGCCUUGUGGGUGUAUGCAUUCAAGAUGCUUGAAAAGGAAGAACUGAGGAGACUGAAAGGGGAUAUCAUAUGUCCCAGACUGGACGUUUUUGACGGAAUUCAUGAGG